rnacentral:rRNA from 1 species
UACGGGGGGAGCAAGCGUUGUUCGGAUUUACUGGGCGUAAAGGGCGCGUAGGCGGCGUGACAAGUCACUUGUGAAAUCUCCGGGCUUAACCCGGAGCGGCCAAGUGAUACUGUCGUGCUAGAGUGCGGAAGGGGCUACUGGAAUUCUCGGUGUAGCGGUGAAAUGCGUAGAUAUCGGAAGGAACACCAGUGGCGAAAGCGGCUUCCUGGUCCAGCACCGACGUUCAGGCACGAAAGCGUGGGGAGCAAACAGG